rnacentral:rRNA from 1 species
AGCGAACGUUAGCGGCAGGCCUAACACAUGCAAGUCGUGCGAGAAAGGGGCUUCGGCCCUGAGUAAAGCGGCGGACGGGUGCGUAACACGUGGGUAAUGUGUCCUUCAGCGGGGGAUAACGGUCCGAAAGGAUCGCUAAUACCGCAUACGUCGGAGUCGGCUUCGGCCUUCUCCAGGAAAGGUGGCCUCUUCAUGAAAGCUACCACUGAAGGAGCAGCCCGCGUCCCAUCAGCUAGUUGGUGAGGUAAUGGCUCACCAAGGCUUAGACGGGUAGCUGGUCUGAGAGGAUGAUCAGCCACACUGGAACUGAGACACGGUCCAGACUCCUACGGGUGGCAG